AUUGAACGCUGGCGGAAUGCUUUACACAUGCAAGUCGAACGGCAGCACGGACUUCGGUCUGGUGGCGAGUGGCGAACGGGUGAGUAAUACAUCGGAACGUGCCCAGUCGUGGGGGAUAACGUAGCGAAAGCUACGCUAAUACCGCAUACGAUCUAAGGAUGAAAGCGGGGGGCCGUAAGGCCUCGCGCGAUUGGAGCGGCCGAUGGCAGAUUAGGUAGUUGGUGGGGUAAAGGCUCACCAAGCCGACGAUCUGUAGCUGGUCUGAGAGGACGACCAGCCACACUGGGACUGAGACACGGCCCAGACUCCUACGGGAGGCAGCAGUGGGGAAUUUUGGACAAUGGGCGCGAGCCUGAUCCAGCCAUUCCGCGUGCAGGAUGAAGGCCCUCGGGUUGUAAACUGCUUUUGUACGGAACGAAAAGGCUCUGGUUAAUACCUGGGGCUCAUGACGGUACCGUAAGAAUAAGCACCGGCUAACUACGUGCCAGCAGCCGCAGUAA
rnacentral:rRNA from 1 species